AUGGCGACACCUUCAAGCACUCCACCAACAUCCGAGAUCCCGGAGACGACUCCAUCAGCAGCAGCUCCAGCAGCAAUGGCGGCAGCUCCAUCGGCAGGAGUAGGAGCUCCAUCGGCAGGAGCGGGAGCUUCAUUGGCGGGAGCAGGAGCUUCAUUGAUGUCGGAGGCCCCACCGACAGCUUCGGCAUCUGUAGCUCUGCUGGCAAUCCCGCCAACCACGAUGAGCUUUAUACCAGAGGUUCCUACUGAAACUUUCCUUUCCACUUCUUUAUGCCAAUGCAUUUACCUUAGAUCUAUUCUUACUUCCCCUCCAUUCUUUACCUUUUUAGGCAGUUAGGCACCAGAUUACUAUUCGCCUCACCAAAACUCCCGGCCUUAUCUGUCUUGGUCCCAUGGGAAACCCAGAUCCAAC
rnacentral:lncRNA from 1 species